rnacentral:snRNA from 1 species
GUGCUCUCUUCAGUAGCACAUAUUCUAAAAUUGAAACAAUACAGAGAUUAUCAAGGCCCCUGCACAAGGAUGACAUGCAAACUCAUGAAGGAUUCCAUAUUUUU